AUGACUGCCAUCCCUGCAUCGCCACCAUCAGUGCAGCACCGCAGCAACGCCAACAGUGCCAUCCCUGUAUCACCACCAUCAGUGCCAUCCCUGCAGCACCGCCAUCAGUGCAGGACCACCAUCACCAUCAUCAGUGCCAUCCCUGCAUCACUGCCAUCAGUGCAGCACCACCAUCACCACCAUCAGUGCAGCACCAAAGCAUCGCAGCACCGCCAACACUGCCAUCCAUGCAUCACCACCAUCAGUGCAGCACCGCAGCACCACAGCACUGCCAUCAGUGCAGGACCACCAUCACCACCAUCAGUGCAGCACCGCAGCACCACCAUCAGUGCAGCACCGACAUCAGUGCCAUCCCUGCAUCACCACCAUCAGCGUCAUCAGUGCAGCACUGCAUCACUGCCAUCAGUGCAGCACCACCAUCAUCGCCAUCAGUGCAGCACCACAGCAUCGCCAUCAGUGCCAUCCCUGCAUCACCAUCAGCAUAGCACCACCAUCACCACCAUCAGCAUCGCCACCGCAGCACUGCAGCACCCUGCAUCACCACCAUCAUUGCAGCAUCGCCAUCAGUGCAGCACUGCACAACCGCCAUCAGUGCCGUCCCUGCAUCACCACCAUCAGCAUCGUCACUGCAGCACUGCCAUCAGUGCCAUCACUGCAUCAUCACCAUCAGUUCAGCACCACCAUCAGUGCAGCACCACCAUCACCACCAUCAGCGUCGGCACCGCAUCAUCGCCAUCAGUGCCAUCCCUGCAUCACCAUCAGUGCAGCACCACCAUCAGUGCAGCACCGCAGCAUCACAGCACCGCCAUCAGUGCCACCCCUGCAUCACCACCAACAGUGCAGCACCGCCAUCAGUGCCAUCCCUGCAUCAUCACCAUCAGAGCAGCACCACAUUCAGUGCCAUCCCUGCAUCAUCACCAACAGUGCAUCACCACCAUCACUGCAUCACCACCAUCAGUGCAGCACCGCAGCAUCACAGCACCGCCAUCAGUGCCAUCCCUGCAUCACCACCAUCAGUGCAGCACCGCCAUCACCACCAUCAGUGCAGCACCGCAGCAUCACAGCUCCGCCAUCAGUGCCACCCCUGCAUCACCGCCAUCAGCAUCGUCACUGCAGCACCGCAGCACCGCCAUCAGUGCAGCACCACCAUCAGUGCCAUCCCUGCAUCAUCACCAACAGUGCAUCACCACCAUCAGUGCCAUCCCUGCAUCACCAUCAUCAGUGCAGCAUCGCCAUCAGUGCCAUCCCUGCAUCAUCACCAACAGUGCAUCACCACCAUCAGUGCAGCACCGCCAUCAGUGCAGCACCGCCAUCAGUGCCAUCCCUGCAUCACCACCAUCAGUGCAGCACCACAGCAUCACAGCAUCACAGCACCACCAUCAGUGCCAUCCCUGCAUCACCGCCAUCAGCAUCAUCAGUGCAGCACCGCAGCACCGCCAUCAAUGCAGCACCGCCAUCAGUGCCAUCCCUGCAUCACCAUCAGUGCAGCACCGCAGCACCACCAUCAGUGCCAUCCCUGCAUCACCAUCAGUGCAGCACCACAGCACCGCCAUCAGUGCCAUCCCUGCAUCGCCACCAUCAGUACAGCACCACCAUCAGUGCAGGACCACCAUCACCACCAUCAGAGCAGCACCGCAGCACCGCCAUCAGUGCAUCACCACCAUCAGUGCCAUCCCUGCAUCACCACCAUCAGAGCAGCACCACCAUCAGUGCCAUCCCUGCAUCACCAUCAGAGCAGCACCACCAUCAGAGCAGCACCGCAGCACCGCCAUCAGUGCAGCCCCCCACGCCCCCCCCCAUCCCCGCAGCGCCGCGCCGCAGCGCCGUGCCGUACCUCGUCCUGCUCCUCGUGCUCCAGGAUGGCCUGCAGGAAGGCGCGCCGCUCGUGGCUGGACGAUUUCUGGUCGAACAUCCCGGCCUGGAUCACCUUCUGGUCCACGUUCAGUUUGUAUUUGGCGGCCGCCAGGAUUUUCUCCUCCACGCUGUUGACGGUGCAGAGGCGCAGGACGCGCACCUCGUUCUGCUGCCCGAUGCGAUGCGCCCGGUCCUGGGCCUGCAGGUCCUGCGUGGGGGG
ensembl:lncRNA